rnacentral:lncRNA from 1 species
GAAUCACUAACACUGGAAGAGACUGCUAAAGAUCAUCUCGUGCAACCACAACCCACCCCCACCAUGUCCACUGACCGCGUCCCUCAGUGCCGCAUCUCCACAUUUCCUGAGCACCUCCAGGGUCGGUGACUCCACCACCUCCCUGUGCCAGUGCCUCACCACUCUUUCUGACAAGAAAUGAUUCCUAAUAUCCAACCUCACUUCUGAGGAAACAUGGGGAACUUCACAGAGGGGACGUGGAUGUCUCAUUUUUGGGGAGACAUGGGAGCUUCACUGUGGGAACUUUGAGGUUUCACCUCUGAGGGGACACAGGAGCAUCACAGAGAUUAGUUACAUGGAGGCUUCACCUCUGAUGGAACACGAGGAGCUUCACCAAGGGGCUUCACCUCUGAAGGUACAUGAUCCCAGAGGGGAUGUGUGCCCCUCCACCACCAUGCCUCCCUGCUGAGCAUCCUCAAAUCUCCCUGGCCAUGCCUGUGCCCCACCUGACACCCUGCCAAAUCUGUUGGAGGGGGCCGAUUGCUGCCCUCACAAAAGGAGAGCAGAACACAUUUGACUAUGUAAAGCACUUGAGGAUCCUUGAAUGAGGGAAAUGAUGAUCUGAAAUUUGCUUUCAGUUAAAAAAAACAAAACAGCACCAAACCUCCAGAUCUUGAUCUUUACUGAAAGAAGAAUAUGCAGCAUGCUAAAGGCAAUCUUGGUUUCCACUAUAUCACUGUGCAUCUGUAGAGCCCUGAAGAUGCAGUUCAUCUGCAAACACAGUGGCAAUUUCAGAGUAAUCGAGAGCCACCUUGUGGAGCUGGGAUUCAUGAAGGGGCUCUGAAUAACACUGCUGGGAACAGCUGUUCACGAUGAGGAAUCCAAACCUAACAGGAUGCUGGAGGCUGCUAAUCAAGUUAACUGAAAACAUUCCAUGUUGGCUAUAGAGGCUUAAAAAUGCUGAGUUCUACUUCCCUCUCCACGCUACCUGCCUGCAGCACCUCUUCAACUCAUAGCACUUUACUGCGACUGGAGCUGAUCUCCAAAGUGGGAGAAGCCCUGCAAAGUUCAACCCAGAUGGGCGAACCCAUCUGAUCAGCAUUUCCAUCUCUGGAGGAGGGGAAGCGGGGAGAGGAGAUAAGGCAGAGGUAGAUACAUGAGGGUUUGAAUAAAUGAG